AAUUAGGGUACAGUCCAUUGUUACGGUGAUGUUACCAAUGUUUCGAAGCAUUUUUUGAUUGGUCAAUUUAUAAAAUUCUUCAUUCUGAUUGGUUAAUCAAACACUUCGAAACUUUUGUAGCGCUAAGUGGACUAUAGCCUUAGUCAAAGUAGUGAUGUAUUUGUUGGACAAUGAAAGGAAUUAUGGGUUAUGUUUACUCUUAUCUACUCUUACAAUGUCUUAAUUAUUUAAGAAAAAGAUAAUUAGAUGGUAUUUCGUUUUUGAAUAAUUUUGCCCAAUGAAUUAUAAUUCAAGUGGAGACCAAAUGGCGAAAAAGCCGAAAGUUAUUGUCUUUGAUUUAGACUAUACUUUAUGGCCAUUUUGGGUUGACACUCAUGUAGAUCCACCGUUUAAAAAAAGAGCGCAAAAUAAAAUAGUAGAUGCGCAUGGUCGUACUGUACGCUACUACACUGACGUACCUGAUGUAUUGAAACAGUUAUCAGAGGAAGGAUAUGAGCUUGCUGUAGCAUCACGCACGUCAGAAAUAAAGGGAGCAAAACAAUUGCUAGAUCUUUUUGGCUGGAAGAGAUAUUUCAAAUAUUUUGAAAUAUUUCCUGGUAGCAAAGUUACACAUUUCUCUAACAUUCAAAAGAGUUCUCAAAUUGAUUACAAAGAUAUGCUGUUUUUCGAUGAUGAGACUAGAAAUAUCACGGAAAUUGGUAAACUUGGGGUACAUGCUAUAUUAGUUAGAAAUGGUGUGAGUCAUCAUGUUGUGGAAGAUGCUCUGCGAUCGUUUAGCAAACAAUAAUGACUUAGUUCUAGGUGUCUUGUAAUUUCGCCGCGAGCCUUCUAAACCGUACAUAUGCCUGAUGCUGUACAGAAAUUUCUUUUCGUUGGAUUGCCAAUUGUGCGAACAUACUGAGGUACAAAAAAAGACUAUAGUACAGACGAGCAUAAUGACUGAGACGAUGUCUCCUUCUUAAUAAAGAGUGCAGAUGCUGCA
rnacentral:misc_RNA from 1 species